rnacentral:tRNA from 1 species
AGUUAAUGAGCUUGUUAAGUAUAUAUUUUGAAAAUAUAAAAAAGAGGUUUAACCCCUCUAUUAACUU